rnacentral:rRNA from 1 species
AUUGAACGCUGGCGGCAGGCUUAACACAUGCAAGUCGAGCGAGCGGCGGACGGGUGAGUAAUGUCUGGGAAACUGCCUGAUGGAGGGGGAUAACUACUGGAAACGGUAGCUAAUACCGCAUACAAUGAGAGGUGCCCAGAUGGAAUUAGCUAGUAGGUGGGGUAAGGGCUCACCAAGGCGACGAUCCCUAGCUGGUCUGAGAGGAUGACCAGCCACACUGGAACUGAGACACGGUCCAGACUCCUACGGGAGGCAGCAGUGGGGAAUAUUGCACAAUGGGCGCAAGCCUGAUACAGCCAUGCCGCGUGUGUGAAGAAGGCCUUCGGGUUGUAAAGUACUUUCAGCGAGGAGGCGUUACUCGCAGAAGAAGCACCGGCUAACUCCGUGCCAGCAGCCGCGGUAAUAC